UACGUAGGCAGCGAGCGUUGUUCGGAGUUACUGGGCGUAAAGGGUGUGUAGGCGGUUGUUUAAGUUUGGUGUGAAAUCUCCCGGCUCAACUGGGAGGGUGCGCCGAAUACUGAAUGACUAGAGUGCGGGAGAGGAAAGUGGAAUUCCUGGUGUAGCGGUGAAAUGCGUAGAUAUCAGGAGGAACACCGGUGGUGUAGACGGCUUUCUGGACCGACACUGACGCUGAGACACGAAAGCGUGGGUAGCAAACAGG
rnacentral:rRNA from 1 species